AGCUUAGUCAGUAAAGUAUUUGUCUUACAAACAAGAAGUCUUGGGUUCAAGACCCAG
rnacentral:tRNA from 1 species